rnacentral:rRNA from 1 species
UACGGAAGGCAGCACUGGGGAAUAUUGCACAAUGGGCGCAAGCCUGAUGCAGCCAUGCCGCGUGUAUGAAGAAGGCCUUCGGGUUGUAAAGUACUUUCAGUCGUGAGGAAGGUGUUAAGGUUAAUAACCUUAGCAAUUGACGUUAGCGACAGAAGAAGCACCGGCUAACUCCGUGCCAGCAGCCGCGGUAAUACGGAGGGUGCGAGCGUUAAUCGGAAUUACUGGGCGUAAAGGGCACGCAGGCGGUUAAUUAAGUUGGAUGUGAAAUCCCCGGGCUUAACCUGGGAAUGGCAUUCAAGACUGGUUAGCUAGAGUCUUGUAGAGGGGGUAGAAUUCCAUGUGUAGCGGUGAAAUGCGUAGAGAUGUGGAGGAAUACCGGUGGCGAAGGCGGCCCCUGGACAAAGACUGACGCUCAUGUGCGAAAGCGUGGGGAGCAAAC